CUCCUACGGGAGGCAGCAGUGAGGAAUAUUGGUCAAUGGACGCAAGUCUGAACCAGCCAUGCCGCGUGCAGGAAGACGGCUCUAUGAGUGGUAAACUGCUUUUGUACGAGGGUAAACUCACCUACGUGUAGGUGACUGAAAGUAUCGUACGAAUAAGGAUCGGCUAACUCCGUGCCAGCAGCCGCGGUAAUACGGAGGAUUCAAGCGUUAUCCGGAUUUAUUGGGUUUAAAGGGUGCGUAGGCGGUUUGAUAAGUUAGAGGUGAAAUCCCGGGGCUUAACUCCGGAACUGCCUCUAAUACUGUUAGACUAGAGAGUAGUUGCGGUAGGCGGAAUGUAUGGUGUAGCGGUGAAAUGCUUAGAGAUCAUACAGAACACCGAUUGCGAAGGCAGCUUACCAAACUAUAUCUGACGUUGAGGCACGAAAGCGUGGGGAGCAAACAGGAUUAGAUACCCUGGUAGUCCACGCAGUAAACGAUGAUAACUCGUUGUCGGCGAUACACAGUCGGUGACUAAGCGAAAGCGAUAAGUUAUCCACCUGGGGAGUACGUUCGCAAGAAUGAAACUCAAAGGAAUUGACGGGGGCCCGCACAAGCGGAGGAACAUGUGGUUUAAUUCGAUGAUACGCGAGGAACCUUACCCGGGCUUGAAAGUUACUGACGAUUCUGGAAACAGGAUUUCCCUUCGGGGCAGGAAACUAGGUGCUGCAUGGUUGUCGUCAGCUCGUGCCGUGAGGUGUCGGGUUAAGUCCCAUAACGAGCGCAACCCCUACCGUUAGUUGCCAUCAGGUCAAGCUGGGCACUCUGGCGGGACUGCCGGUGUAAGCCGAGAGGAAGGUGGGGAUGACGUCAAAUCAGCACGGCCCUUACGUCCGGGGCUACACACGUGUUACAAUGGUAGGUACAGAGGGUCGCUACCCCGUGAGGGGAUGCCAAUCUCGAAAGCCUAUCUCAGUUCGGAUUGGAGGCUGAAACCCGCCUCCAUGAAGUUGGAUUCGCUAGUAAUCGCGCAUCAGCCAUGGCGCGGUGAAUACGUUCCCGGGCCUUGUACACACCGC
rnacentral:rRNA from 1 species